AGCAGGGUAGAGCAGAGGUAGCUCACCGGGUUCAUACCCCGGAGGUCGCCGGUUCGAUUCCGGUCCCUGCAACCA
rnacentral:tRNA from 1 species